CCUACGGGAGGCAGCAGUGAGGAAUAUUGGACAAUGGUCGGAAGACUGAUCCAGCCAUGCCGCGUGCAGGAUGAAGGUCCUAUGGAUUGUAAACUGCUUUUGUAAGGGAAGAAUAAGGAGUACGUGUACUUUGAUGACGGUACCUUACGAAUAAGCAUCGGCUAACUCCGUGCCAGCAGCCGCGGUAAUACGGAGGAUGCGAGCGUUAUCCGGAAUCAUUGGGUUUAAAGGGUCCGUAGGCGGGCUGAUAAGUCAGAGGUGAAAUCGUUCAGCUCAACUGAGCAACUGCCUUUGAAACUGUCAGUCUUGAAUGAUUGUGAAGUAGUUGGAAUGUGUAGUGUAGCGGUGAAAUGCUUAGAUAUUACACAGAACACCGAUUGCGAAGGCAUGUUACUAACAAUUUAUUGACGCUGAUGGACGAAAGCGUGGGGAGCGAACAGGAUUAGAUACCCUGGUAGUCCACGCUGUAAACGAUGGAUACUAGCUGUUUGGAGAAAUUUGAGUGGCUAAGCGAAAGUGAUAAGUAUCCCACCUGGGGAGUACGCACGCAAGUGUGAAACUCAAAGGAAUUGACGG
rnacentral:rRNA from 1 species